CGCCUUGAUGAUGAGGAGAUGGUAUCCUUCAUCUUGGUCGGCCUUGACAUCAACUACAACCCUUUGGUGUCUUCCAUUGUUGCGCGCACAGAUCCUAUCUCUCUCAGUGAUCUGUACACGCAACUACUCAGCUACAAUC